rnacentral:rRNA from 1 species
AGAAUCAACACUGGCGGCGUGCCUAACACAUGCAAGUCGCACGAGAAAGGGGAGCAAUCCCUGAGUACAGUGGCGCACGGGUGAGUAACACGUGAAUCAUCUACCUCCGAGUGGGGAAUAACUGAGAGAAAUCUUAGCUAAUACCGCAUAAUACCCACGGGUCAAAGCAGCAAUGCGCUUGGAGAGGAGUUCGCGGCAGAUUAGUUAGUUGGCGGGGUAAUGGCCCACCAAGACGAUGAUCUGUAU